UACGUAGGGUGCAAGCGUUGUCCGGAAUUAUUGGGCGUAAAGAGCGUGUAGGCGGCCCGAUUAGUCCGCUGUGAAAGUCCAGGGCUCAACCCUGGAAUGCCGGUGGAUACUGUCGGGCUAGAGUCCGGAAGGGGCGAGUGGAAUUCCUGGUGUAGCGGUGAAAUGCGCAGAUAUCAGGAAGAACACCCGUGGCGAAGGCGGCUCUCUGGGGACGGUACUGACGCUGAGACGCGAAAGCGUGGGGAGCGAACAGG
rnacentral:rRNA from 1 species